rnacentral:rRNA from 1 species
GAUGAACGCUGGCGGCGUGCCUAAUACAUGCAAGUCGAGCGAACAGAUAAGGAGCUUGCUCCUUUGACGUUAGCGGCGGACGGGUGAGUAACACGUGGGUAACCUACCUAUAAGACUGGGAUAACUUCGGGAAACCGGAGCUAAUACCGGAUAACAUUUGGAACCGCAUGGUUCUAAAGUGCAAGAUGGUUUUGCUAUCACUUAUAGAUGGACCCGCGCCGUAUUAGCUAGUUGGUAAGGUAACGGCUUACCAAGGCGACGAUACGUAGCCGACCUGGGAGGGUGAUCGGCCACAGUGGAACUGAGACACGGCCCAGACUCCUACGGGAGGCAGCAGUAGGGAAUCUUCCGCAAUGGGCGAAAGCCUGACGGAGCAACGCCGCGUGAGUGAUGAAGGGCUUCGGCUCGUAAAACUCUGUUAUUAGGGAAGAACAAAUGUGUAAGUAACUGUGCACGUCUUGACGGUACCUAAUCAGAAAGCCACGGCUAACUACGUG